AUGAUAGCGACUAGUCUAAAAAACCUAAGAUGUAAGAAUAGGGACAACAUAUUUAUUUGAAUUUUGUUUUCAACAGGUUGCCUCUCGUGGCUCGAUCAACAACCACGUAAUUCUCUCAUAUAUGUUGCAUUUGGAAGUUCCACAAUAUUUGAUCAGAAUCAAUUCAAAGAACUUGCUCUCGACCUUGAACUCACCAAAAGACCAUUCCUGUGGAUCGUGCGGGAAAACACAACUGAAGAUGUUGACAAUGCAUACCCAACAGGGUUCCUCGAAAGAGUGCAGAAUUGGGAGAGAAUGGUGGCUUCGGCACCAUAGCAAAACGUCCUAUCCCAUCCUUCUAUUGCCUGUUUCAUUAGCCAUUGUGGUUGGAAUUCCGCCAUCAAAGGCAUAAGCAAUGGAGUCCCUUUUAUGUGUUUGCCAUAUUUUGUGGAUCAAAUGUUCAAUCAGAGCUACAUUUGUAAUUGUUUGACAACAGGAUUGAAAUUGAAUAAAGAUGACAGUGGAAUAAUUAGGCAUGAAGAGAUUAACAACAAACUAGAACAACUUUUGGGUGAUGAAAGAUUUAAAGAAUUGGCGUUGGAUCUUCAAUCAAAUGUCCUAAAUAGCAUUGAAGAAGGAGAGAGCUCUUAUAAUAAUUUCAAGGAUUUAGUAGCUUGGAUUAAGG
rnacentral:lncRNA from 1 species